CCUACGGGGGGCAGCAGUAGGGAAUCUUCCACAAUGGGCGAAAGCCUGAUGGAGCAACGCCGCGUGGGUGAAGAAGGUCUUCGGAUCGUAAAACCCUGUUGUUAGAGAAGAAAGUGCGUGAGAGUAACUGUUCACGUUUCGACGGUAUCUAACCAGAAAGCCACGGCUAACUACGUGCCAGCAGCCGCGGUAAUACGUAGGUGGCAAGCGUUAUCCGGAUUUAUUGGGCGUAAAGGGAACGCAGGCGGUCCUUUAAGUCUGAUGUGAAAGCCUUCGGCUUAACCGGAGUAGUGCAUUGGAAACUGGGAGACUUGAGUGCAGAAGAGGAGAGUGGAACUCCAUGUGUAGCGGUGAAAUGCGUAGAUAUAUGGAAGAACACCAGUGGCGAAAGCGGCUUUCUGGUCUGUAACUGACGCUGAGGUUCGAAAGCGUGGGUAGCAAACAGGAUUAGAUACCCCAGUAGUC
rnacentral:rRNA from 1 species